UAGCUUGAGCUGUUGUUAUAUGAAUGUGAGCUUCAUUACUUAUCAAUACUGUCCAGAGUCUAGAACAGAGGGGUUUUUAACUCAGAUAGAAGCAGGCAUACAAUCUGAAGACUAUACGUAGUUAAUAUGAAGCAAAGCAGGACAGUGGAAGAUAAUUUAAUCUCUGUUAUUUCUUUAAUUUUAUUUUUCUCUCUAUUUUUAAAUUGCAAGUGCAUGUAAGCAUCCGAAAACUGAUUGAAAUACAACUCAUGAAAACGCUCACAUUUAUAUGCCAAGCAGGCAUUCCCCAGGUAGGCAGCUCUAGUGUGAUUGCCGUGAGGUGGAAGGGCCACCCACAAUGUGGAAAGAGUAAUUUAUCUCUGUGCCAGCUCCGCCUUUGCCCUCUCUGCUGAGACUGCCAGCACAGGUGGCAGUGAGUGCCAGUGGGGAUGCUAUGACCAAAUUGGAGCACUUGCUCUUUGCUGGCUGUAAACAGGCCUCCUCCCGCACCCCCAGCAGAGGAAACACUGGCUUAUACUGGUAUUGCUGCGUAGUGUGAGGGACUGUGGUCUUGUGGCAUUUUAUGUGCUGUUUGCCAGCCUAUUCUGGCCUACAUUUGAGGUCGGGCUUUGGGAUUGGCCUCAAGAACAGCUGUCUUGAUGGGCCCCUUGAUUCCCAUAUUCAGGGAUGCAGAAACAGAAAAAGGGCGGCCGUCAGUACUGGUGGAAGCCCAUUUCUUGUCAGCCGUACCUGGUUAAGGAAGACUGCUAGUCUUAGACUGAAAUUGGGGUUUGGGGCUGAGAAAAGUAAACAUGUUGGGGCCCAGGUUUUUCCAAGGUUCUUGAAGGCUCAGAGAGAUAAGAGGGCAGGAGCUGGCAGGGGCUUGUGUGUGGUUAGGUUUGUGUCUGGCCCCUGUGCCCUGGAAGGUUCUGGUUUCAGAUUGGGGUAUGGGUUUGUGCUAGGGCAAGAGGAGCCUCCGUGGCUCAGGGCAUCCCAAGGGGCUUCACAAUGCACAAAACAGCUGUUACAACCAGUACACCCAAGCUGCAGUCAGAAGGGGUGAAGACUGCAAAAAUAUUCAUUGCAUUAUUGUAGCAUCCUUCAACAUUUCAACCUUUAUUUUAUAAAAAUUCAGGUUGUCUAACAAACUUUAGUAGAUAUUGUUCAUCAGUGACCCAAAUCCAGAACUUUUGUUCUGAAAACAUUAUUUCUAGAUUUGUUUUCAUACUGAAUAGUAAACAAGCAGAACACCCUGGGAAACGAAUUGGUUCAGAUCAGAUGGGUAUAUUUCAUUCUUCUUUUAUGUUUCUUGCUACUUGAUAUGCUAAAAAUGUACGAAAUAGCAAGUUUCUUCUACAUAAAGAGAGGGAUCCUUCUAUUCCUAAAACUGUUGGGACAGAAUAUAUUGCUCUCCUGAAACCCCCUCCUGCCCCUUUUCUUCCCAAGGAGAAAAUUCAUCAAAAUCAGCCUGACUCCAUGAGCUGUAUUAGCUUUGAUCAAAGCAUAUUUUCUGACAGAAAAAAAAAAUACUCUGUCAGAGCAUUGCUGUGUUAGGUAUGUAUCUGAGUGUGCAUAGACGCAUAUUAGCUAGGUUUUCAAACUCUAAGGGGAUUAAGAGCUCAAACUCAUUGAAAUUCAGGAGGAGUGAGACAUUUUGCUUCCUUGGAGAUGCAAGCCCUAGAGAUUUAGAUCCCCCAGGGGAUGCAACCAGAGGAACAGACAGCUAUUAACUUUGACAAGAGCUCUCCAUCACUUUUUCUAGGAAAAUAUUCUGCAGACAAAAAGUAGGUUGUUAGUUCCGGAUUGAGGAGGCAAGUGAGGACAUUUAGGUGCUAUUUAUGUUUCCUUUUGGGCACCAUGCAGGUGCAUUUCUGUGAUUUUAUCAGCGGUUUAAUAUCACUGUUGACAGUGGUGACAUGGUUAAAUCUGUAACAGGGAUUACAUCUAUAUCCGUCUUCUAUACGUGUAUCCUCUCCCACACAAUUUUCAGCUUCGGAUCCCUUUCAUCGUGAAUUUAAAUGCACUAAAAAUACAUUUGUUUUUCUUAGUUGCCUGCUGCAGGUUCCCCUGAGCUUUACAAGCCACUGCUGCAGUCACACGUUGGUUUGACAUGGAGCCUUUGCAAACACUGCUCUACCAGAAUUAGUCAUGUGGAGUCACACCAAAGGUUGGUCUUGUAGGAGAUGGUUAGAAAAAGGUCAAGAGGACAAAAGCCUUCCCCUCUGGUUUAACUUUCGAGCUUCUGCCAGGUGGUAAUUUAGUGCCUUACUGAGCCACGGUUUGCAUCUGUAUCAUUACAUUUGCUAGUCACUGAUGAACCUAAUCUUCAUUAAUUUGUCUAAUCCGUUUUGGAGCCUUUUUAGGCUUCUGGUCUCUGUACCGUUCUCUGGCAAGUUCCACGAUGGAAGGCAGAGGUGUCCUCCCAGCAGCACCGUAGGUCCAGGGGAAUCUGAAGGUGCAGAAAUGCCUUCUCCGCAGCACGGGAGCUUCACAGCGCUGCGUCUGCAGCAAAGGUUUCUCUCCCACGGCUUCCUCCAUCAUUUGUUCACCCUGCAGUUUCAGCAACUG